rnacentral:rRNA from 1 species
ACAGCAGUAGCCACGGUAAUACGUAGGUGGCAAGCGUUGUCCGGAAUUAUUGGGCGUAAAGCGCGCGCAGGCGGUUUCUUAAGUCUGAUGUGAAAGCCCCCGGCUUAACCGGGGAGGGUCAUUGGAAACUGGGAGACUUAGAGUGCAGAAGAGGAGAGUGGAAUUCCAUGUGUAGCGGUGAAAUGCGUAGAUAUAUGGAGGAACACCAGUGGCGAAGGCGACUCUCUGGUCUGUAACUGACGCUGAGGCGCGAAAGCGUGGGGAGCAAACAGGAUUAGAUACCCCAGUAGUCCCUGUCUCUUAUA